UACGUAGGGGGCAAGCGUUAUCCGGAUUUACUGGGUGUAAAGGGAGCGUAGGCGGCUUAGUAAGUCAGAAGUGAAAGCCCGCAGCUCAACUGCGGGACUGCUUUUGAAACUGCCAAGCUAGAGUGUCGGAGAGGUAAGUGGAAUUCCUAGUGUAGCGGUGAAAUGCGUAGAUAUAUGGAGGAACACCAGUGGCGAAGGCGGCGAUCUGGGGUGCAACUGACGCUCAGUCCCGAAAGCGUGGGGAGCAAAUAGG
rnacentral:rRNA from 1 species